ensembl:lncRNA
AUGCCGGGGGGGAGCUCCGGGGCGCGCAGCAGGCGGGGGCUGCUUAACAGGGGGCGGGCAGGGGGCAGGCAGCGCCGCGGGGCGGGGGGCAAGGUGCCAGGCAGCCCCCCCGCCGCCGCCGCCCUCAGGUGCCAGCGCCCGCGGGUUGCUCCCCGCCCGGGAAGCAGGGUCUGGGGGCAGCCGGCCCCAGGCGGUGCCGCCGGGACCCCGCUAGGCUCCCCCCACGCUGCUCUCGCAGGAGCCUGGAGCCCGCAGCGGGGGCUCGCCCGCCUCUCGGCCCCGCGUGUGUGUGUGCGUGGGAGCGUCCUCCGCGUGUGCGUGUGUGCCGUGGGCUGCUCUGUCCGUGCGCGGUUGCUGCUUGAAGGCGUCCCGGCAGCACUGUCCCCGGUGUCCCCACGAGCCGCUGGCCAGGCAGAGGGCUCCACGGGGAGGCUCCGAAAUGCAGUCAGGUCUGCAAUCAGCGCCCGCGAGGAAGCGACGCCUGGAGCUGGAGGAACUCCGGGGCCACUUUGAGCUCCCCAUUCCCGUCCCCUCCCGGAGCACGGUGGCUGGGUUGGGGUGCGGGGCAGGCCCAGGGACACGGGGCAUUUUGCUGCCUGACGCCCAGGAAAGCUGGCGAUGCUCUUCUGCUCUGCCCGCUCUCCUCCUGCCGCCCGGAAAGCCGGAGAGCCAGAAAUAAUGCUAACGCGCCUUGGGCUGUGGUGCCCAAACAAGAGAGGGAGAAGUCCUGGUAAAAUGGAGGGAAAGUAGUGGCUGUUUUUUACAACCCAAGUGUAUAAUCGGAUUUUUUUUUUCUCUCCUGAUAGAAAGCAGAUAAAUUUAUGAAGGGAGAGCUAAGAGAAUAAUUACAGGGUGAAGGUAGUUAAAUUUUAUUUCGAGUCCCAAAGGCAAAACCUGACAUUUUAUUGCAAACAUCUGGAAGGCUUAAGAGACUGGCAUGGUGUUUGUUUAAACACUAAUAGAGAUUUUUAUUCUGUAAAACACAAACAAAGCCCAUUUAAAAACACUCGAGACUGUAAAUAUUUUGCGGUGGUUCAAUUCUCCAAGCCUGAGAAAACCGGGGAAACGGGAGGGGAGGGGAACGAAUCGACGGCGUAAUGGGGGUAUAAUUAUGAAUUAGUUAAUAAUAAGCAACAAUACCGUUUGUGUAGACCAUAAAAAUAAAUUGCAGCUGCAUUUUUUUUUUUCGCAGUCGCAGUAAAUGACCCCGCGCAGCCCGGGAACAUCACCUCGCUCGCGUUUCCAGGCGGCCACUCUGUUCGCCUUAAACUCGCCUCUUACGAGAGAGCCAGCCCCGAAAUCCUCCGGUCCGUUUUUAAAAGGACGAUCGGCGUUGCGUUAAAGUCCAGUAAAUCACUCGCUCGCGUUAUCAGACAGCAUUCAGCCCGCACCCGCUGACUAGUUUUAACAUUGUUUUCAAUUACUAACUUUAAAAAAAAAAAAAAUCCCCUAGAUCUGGCUAAAGGACCUUCGAUAACAUUUCCCUUGUUGUGCGGCAGGGCUUGAAACUGGCUCCGCUCAGGCUCUGCGAGCAGAACAUCUGGACAGCACUCCCACCCCGCAGCCGGCUCCCCUUAUUUCUCUCUUUUGCAAAUAUUUCCAUACAUAAACAAAUAUUUUCAGGCUCGCUCGGCGACAACCGGGAAGCAGGAGUGAAUGAUUUCUUUAUAAACCCCAGGGCCUGGCCCUGCGACCCUUGCUCCCGCCACUUUAUUCCAGGGAGCAGUUUCCUGGAUUUAAUGGGAGCUACCCCUGCGAGUGCGGGUCUGGAAGAAAGGCCAGGCAAAGGGGGUGCUUUCUUCUCCAGGGGUCAGAGCGGGAUCUGAGCGUCGCGGCUGAGCCCAGGCCGACCCCAGAUUUCCAGCGGGGGGUCACGGGCAGAAAUCUCCUGCGAGGGAGCAGCCCCGUCCCUUCCCCGGGCGCAUCUCGCCGCUGCCCUUCGCCCCGCCGGCACCGGCAGCGGGCGGGCGAGCCCUCGGGCUGCGGCGGGGAGGGAGAGGCUCGCCCCCGGCCGCCGCUGCCGGGACCGUGGGGAGCUGCCCUCCAGCCCCCGGCAAAGGGAUCUGCUCCCUGGGGCCUGGCCGGUCAGGGGGCGUGUUGGCACGGGAGCUCGGUCGCGUUUCUGCUGCGAAGCCUCCAUCCGUCCCUCCGUCCCGGCUGGGCGGACAGACGGACGGACGGCAGCGCCCGGCGGCAAGAGACUGCGAAAAAGGCUCGGGGCUGCUUUAAACCGGCGACCCCGUAAAACCACACUUAAACCCGGGAAAAUUGUCUUUCUGAGCUCUUACAUCAGCCCCCGAAUUUCGUUUAAAUCGCCCUGCCUUUCCAACACCAUUUCCUCUCGCUAUAACGCUAUAAAUAAUCCUCUGUUUUCUUGGGCUCCCUUUCUAAAUUCUCCCUCCAGCCUCUAUAAAAGCCUCCCUCGCCGCCUGUCUCCCAGGCGGGUGUUUCCGAGGCUUUCGGAAACAGAGGAGAGGGUUUUUGUUUGGGAGACACUCCUUCGCCGUGGGACACGCAGCCGAAGGACCGGGGCGACAGCCGUGCGCCCUUCCCCGUCUCCCCGUUCCUCGGCCAGUCCCGGAGCCCGCUUUAAAACGCGGGCUCCUUCCAAGUGCCUUUCUCUUUCGUUCCCCUCUCCCCCGGCUCUCCGGGCUCCCCUCGGCCCUGCUGGGGGGCACCCCCGUGCCGGGGGGGCGCCGUGCCCUG